rnacentral:rRNA from 1 species
CACGUAGGGAGCGAGCGUUGUCCGGAUUCAUUGGGCGUAAAGCGCGCGCAGGCGGCUUGGAAAGUCGGGUGUGAAAACUCGGGGCUCAACCCCGGGCGUGCAUCCGAUACUGCCAGGCUUGAGGCAGGUAGGGGAGAUCGGAAUUCCAGGUGUAGCGGUGAAAUGCGUAGAUAUCUGGAGGAACACCGGUGGCGAAGGCGGCAUCCUGGACCAACACUGACGCUGAUGAGCGAAAGCCAGGGGAGCAAACGGG